rnacentral:tRNA from 1 species
UCCCUGAUAGUCCAGUGGUUAGGAUUCGGUGCUUUUCACUGCCGAGGUCCUAGGUUCGAUCCCUGGUUGGGGAA